rnacentral:rRNA from 1 species
GAGCGCCCGCAAGGGGAGCGGCAGACGGGUGAGUAACACGUGGGAAUCUACCCAGCUCUACGGAAUAACCCAGGGAAACUUGGACUAAUACCGUAUACGUCCUUCGGGAGAAAGAUUUAUCGGAGUUGGGUGAGCCCGCGUCGGAUUAGCUAGUUGGUGAGGUAAUGGCUCACCAAGGCGACGAUCCGUAGCUGGUCUGAGAGGUUGAUCAGCCACACUGGGACUGAGACACGGCCCAGACUCCUACGGGAGGCAGCAGUGGGGAAUAUUGGACAAUGGGCGAAAGCCUGAUCCAGCCAUGCCGCGUGAGUGAUGAAGGCCCUAGGGUUGUAAAGCUCUUUCACCGGGGAAGAUAAUGACGGGUACCCGGAGAAGAAGCCCCGGGCUUACUUUCGUGCCAGCAGCCGGCGGUUAUACGAAAGAG